rnacentral:rRNA from 1 species
AACGAACGCUGGCGGCAGGCUUAACACAUGCAAGUCGAACGCCCCGCAAGGGGAGUGGCAGACGGGUGAGUAACGCGUGGGAACAUACCCUUUCCUGCGGAAUAGCUCCGGGAAACUGGAAUUAAUACCGCAUACGCCCUACGGGGGAAAGAUUUAUCGGGGAAGGAUUAGCCCGCGUUGGAUUAGCUAGUUGGUGAGGUAACGGCUCACCAAGGCGACGAUCCAUAGCUGGUCUGAGAGGAUGAUCAGCCACACUGGGACUGAGACACGGCCCAGACUCCUACGGGAGGCAGCAGUGGGGAAUAUUGGACAAUGGGCGAAAGCCUGAUCCAGCCAUGCCGCGUGAGUGAUGAAGGCCUUAGGGUUGUAAAGCUCUUUCAGUGGGGAAGAUAAUGACGGUACCCACAGAAGAGGCCCCGGCUAAUUUCGUGCCAGCAGCCGCCGUAAAAC